GCUAUGAGGGUUGUGAGAGAAUGAGGAGGCAUGGAUAAUACCUAGUCUGAGCCUGAGUGAAUGAAAGGGCGUGGUGACCUUGAUAAUAAUAAAACUUCAUGUUUGUUGGGGGUUCAAACGCAGAACAAAUGCACAAAAAAUUAAGUUGUAAUUUAAAAAACAGAAGCAUCUGAAGACUUCACCAUGUAUACAGAAUCUCAUUAAUUUAGAUUCUGUUCCAGGUAUCCUCCAGGAUAAGGGCAUAGUUUUGAUAACUCUGAGGCUGAAAUUUCUAAGAAAGAAAUGAAGGAAAAAGGAGAGGAGACAGGAAGUAACAUCUUCUCAGAAAUGUCAUUAAAAGAUAGCCAAAAUAACUGGACAUUUUUAACACAACUCUCACAGAAUUUCAACUAAUUUUCAAAGAAAAAAUUAAAAUAAAAGUAAAAAUGAAAA